UCGGGAAUUUUGCGCAAUGGACGAAAGUCUGACGCAGCAACGCCGCGUGAGGGAUGAAGGCCUUCGGGUUGUAAACCUCUUUUAUCAGGGAAGAUAAUGACGGUACCUGAUGAAUAAGUCACGGCUAACUACGUGCCAGCAGCCGCGGUAAUACGUAGGUGACAAGCGUUGUCCGGAUUUACUGGGCGUAAAGAGCGCGCAGGCGGUCGUUCAAGUCGAGUGUGAAAGCCCCCGGCUCAACUGGGGAGGGUCAUUCGCUACUGAUCGACUCGAAGGCAGGAGAGGGUAGUGGAAUUCCCGGUGUAGUGGUGAAAUGCGUAGAUAUCGGGAGGAACACCAGUGGCGAAGGCGACUACCUGGCCUGUUCUUGACGCUGAGGCGCGAAAGCUAGGGGAGCAAACGGG
rnacentral:rRNA from 1 species